rnacentral:rRNA from 1 species
ACGGAAGGCAGCAGUGAGGAGUAUUGGUCAAUGGAGGCAACUCUGAACCAGCCAUCUCGCGUGAAGGAAUACGGCCCUACGGGUCUUAAACUUCUUUUAUAGGGGGAUAAAGUGAGAUACGUGUAUCUUUUUGUAGGUACCCUAUGAAUAAGCAUCAGCUAACUCCGUGCCAGCAGCCGCGGUAAUACGGAGGAUGCGAGCGUUAUCCGGAUUUAUUGGGUUUAAAGGGUGCGCAGGCGGCACGUUAAGUCAGCGGUGAAAUGUCGGGGCUCAACCCGGGCACUGCCGUCGAAACUGGCGAGCUUGAGUACGGAUGAAGUUGGCGGAAUGUGAUGUGUAGCGGUGAAAUGCUUAGAUAUGUCACAGAACACCGAUUGCGAAGGCAGCUGACUAAUCCGCAACUGACGCUCAGGCACGAAAGCGUGGGGAUCGACCAGGAUUAGAUCCCCUGGUA